rnacentral:rRNA from 1 species
AGCUCCAAUGGCGUACAUUAAAGUUGUUGCAGUUAAAAAGCUCGUAGUUGGAUUUGUGGCGCACGGUGUGUUCCGGGCACUUGUUGUCUGAGUAACCUGCUGUUGCCAUCCUUGGGUGGAACCUGUGUGGCAUCAGGUUGUCGUGCAGGGGAUGCCCAUCAUUCACUGUGAAAAAAUUAGAGUGUUCAAAGCAGGCUUAUGCCGUUGAAUGCAUUAGCAUGGAAUAAUGAGAAAGGGCGUUUUUGCUAUUUUGUUGGUUUGCGCAAGAAGGCAAUGAUUAAUGGGGACAGUUGGGGGCAUUCGCAUUCCAUUGUCAGAGGUGAAAUUCUUGGAUUUUUGGAAGACGAACUACUGCGAAAGCAUUCACCAAGGAUGUUUUCAUUAAUCAAGAACGAAAGUA